GCAACASCUCAAAYUUGARAUCUGKMCCCCRCGGGGCYCGAGUUGUAAUUUGUAGAGGGUGUUUCGGGCGCGAUGCCGGUCUAAGUUCCUUGGAACAGGACGUCGUAGAGGGUGAGAGUCCCGUAUGCGACCGGCGAUCAAGCCCGUGCGAAGCCCCUUCGACGAGUCGAGUUGUUUGGGAAUGCAGCUCCAAAUGGGUGGUAAAUUUCAUCUAAAGCUAAAUACCGGCCAGAGACCGAUAGCGGACAAGUAGAGUGAUCGAAAGAUGAAAAGCACUUUGGAAAGAGAGUCAAACAGUACGUGAAAUUGUUGAAAGGGAAGCGCUUGCGAUCAGACCGGCCCGGAGGCGAUCAGCCGUUGCUCGUCAGCGGUGCACUCGCCUCCGACCCGGCCAGCAUCGGUUCGGGCGGCGGGACAAAAGUCCCGGGAAUGUAGCUUCUCUCGGGGAGUCUUAUAGCCCGGGGCGCCAUGCCGCCCGCCCGGACCGAGGACCGCGCUUCGGCUAGGAUGCUGGCGUAAUGGUCGCAAGCGACCCGUCUUG
rnacentral:rRNA from 1 species